rnacentral:rRNA from 1 species
GAUGAACGCUGGCGGCGUGCCUAAUACAUGCUAGUCGAGCGAACGGACGAGAAGCUUGCUUCUCUGAUGUUAGCGGCGGACGGGUGAGUAACACGUGGAUAACCUACCUAUAAGACUGGGAUAACUUCGGGAAACCGGAGCUAAUACCGGAUAAUAUUUUGAACCGCAUGGUUCAAAAGUGAAAGACGGUCCUGCUGUCACUUAUAGAUGGAUCCGCGCUGCAUUAGCUAGUUGGUAAGGUAACGGCUUACCAAGGCAACGAUGCAUAGCCGACCUGAGAGGGUGAUCGGCCACACUGGAACUGAGACACGGUCCAGACUCCUACGGGAGGCAGCAGUAGGGAAUCUUCCGCAAUGGGCGAAAGCCUGACGGAGCAACGCCGCGUGAGUGAUGAAGGUCUUCGGAUCGUAAAACUCUGUUAUUAGGGAAGAACAUAUGUGUAAGUAACUGUGCACAUCUUGACGGUACCUAAUCAGAAAGCCACGGCUAACUACGUG